rnacentral:rRNA from 1 species
GGAGGAAGGUGGGGAUGACGUCAAGUCAGCAUGGCCCUUACGGCCUGGGCUACACACGUGCUACAAUGGUCGGUACAAAGGGUUGCCAAGCCGCGAGGUGGAGCUAAUCCCAUAAAACCGAUCGUAGUCCGGAUCGCAGUCUGCAACUCGACUGCGUGAAGUCGGAAUCGCUAGUAAUCGUGAAUCAGAAUGUCACGGUGAAUACGUUCCCGGGCCUU